UGCGAGGAAUUUGUUGUAUGUCAUUCUUGUCAUAUCUCAUCGAGAAGCAUCGACGUUUUUUUAAUCCCCUUACGAAAUCAUUUUUCAUCUUGGUCACGUAUCUUGAUUCCAAAGCGCAAUACGAUCCACCGCCAGAAAAAUGCUCGAGAUAUGUUCGUGGAACCUAAGCUCUGCUCAACUAUUUCAUGCACGUUCAUAAUAUUACUGAAGAAAAUUAUGAGAGAAAACAUUACAACACUUGGCGGGGAUGUUUACCUGAAUUGGAACCUUAGAUUGCAGUCCUUAGAUUUCAGUUAUAACAGGGGCGUGCUGGAACUGCAAGAACAACAACAAAUGAGCAAAAUUUUAGGGGUUACAUGUUUGUAGAUGUAGAUCGUCCAGAGAAUCUUUGCCAUGGGUCUUGCUCAUUCUUCAAUUCAACCUUGGAAAGAUUAUGCGCGCAUAGUAUGAGUUGUGGACCAACUCGACUUGUUGUUUCUGUGUGUGUGCGAAUUACUUUCUUUGUUAGAAGAUAUGCAAGUGACGCAAUUAACGACUAAUAAAAUUUUAUUAAUAUGUUA